rnacentral:rRNA from 1 species
GCAGUAGCCGCGGGAAUACGUAGGGUCCGAGCGUUGUCCGGAAUUAUUGGGCGUAAAGGGCUCGUAGGCGGUUUGUCGCGUCGGGAGUGAAAACCAGCAGCUUAACUGCUGGCCUGCUUUCGAUACGGGCAGACUUGAGGCAUUCAGGGGAGAACGGAAUUCCUGGUGUAGCGGUGAAAUGCGCAGAUAUCAGGAGGAACACCGGUGGCGAAGGCGGUUCUCUGGGAAUGUUCUGACGCUGAGGAGCGAAAGUGUGGGGAGCGAACAGGAUUAGAUACCCCGGUAGUCCCUGUCUCUUAUAC